GAGUUUGAUCCUGGCUCAGAGUGAACGCUGGCGGCAGGCCUAACACAUGCAAGUCGAACGGCAGCACAGUAAGAGCUUGCUCUUAUGGGUGGCGAGUGGCGGACGGGUGAGGAAUACAUCGGAAUCUACUCUUUCGUGGGGGAUAACGUAGGGAAACUUACGCUAAUACCGCAUACGACCUACGGGUGAAAGCGGAGGACCUUCGGGCUUCGCGCGAUUGAAUGAGCCGAUGUCGGAUUAGCUAGUUGGCGGGGUAAAGGCCCACCAAGGCGACGAUCCGUAGCUGGUCUGAGAGGAUGAUCAGCCACACUGGAACUGAGACACGGUCCAGACUCCUACGGGAGGCAGCAGUGGGGAAUAUUGGACAAUGGGCGCAAGCCUGAUCCAGCCAUGCCGCGUGGGUGAAGAAGGCCUUCGGGUUGUAAAGCCCUUUUGUUGGGAAAGAAAAGCAGUCGGUU
rnacentral:rRNA from 1 species